CUUAGUCCUUUAGGUCUACUUUUCCUCCCUCAGUGGUACCCUGGAGACAACAAAACAUGCUGCCUACAGUAUGAGGAGGCAGGCCAACAAUUAUCUGGAGUUUUUUAUGUAAUCAAGUGAAUUAGGGGCCAAAUCUGACUGUAGCCCCUAUCGUCUUGAGGCGAUUGCCCUUGGAACAGAAAAAGGGGGUUCUAGCUGUGCUUAGGAAAAGGGAAGGAAGGUCUAAGGGCACCAGGGUGUCUUUUCAAGCCUGUAAAGGAGCUAAGAUGGAAAGCAGGGAAGGGGUAAAUUGAGAUCCAUGGUUCUUUCCUAAGUUUGCUCGCGUGGCUUUCAGGGAGUUUAUCCCUCUCCUCCUGAAAGUGGAAGAGAUGAGAGUGAGGAGGGGGAAAAUUACUACAUUUUAUUUCCUAAGUUUCUCCCUGAAAUUGCAGAAGGGACACUCUAGUUCAGGAAAAGCAGCAUAAAAGGGUCAGAACACUUAUUUUAUUUCCCCUUCUUUAUGUCUUCUGUUUCUUCUCCUUCCUCUUCCCUCACAUACAUGGUCAUUCUGCAUGUGUCUCCUUCUGUUCUUUCUGGUCUGAAAAGGGGAAACAUCAGAAAUCCAUAAUUCUUGACAAAUGAACCCAAACUAAAAUCCCUUACAUUUGAGUUUGAAGAUUUUGGCCUCUGGCCUUCCCUCCAGUGGGCUCCAUUUUCUCCCCUUUCCCCAAAGCUCUCCUUUGCCUUGGACUUGGCAACCCAGAAUGGCAUGGCAGGGUUGGGAUGUGGGGGGCCAGUCUGGGCCGAGGGCCCCAAGCUCCAGCAGUCUUGGUCCCUGCUGCUCUGCCUGAUGCUGCUACAGCCUCGCUGGGAAGCUGAGGGCUGGGCUUUUAUUUAAGUUGGGUUGAGCAGUGGGGAAAGGCUGGGGGGAGGACACAGCCCAGGUUCACGGGGAGGACACAGCAUUUUCUCUCCCAUUGCCUUUAUAUUCGGCAGCGCCUCUGACCUCUCCCCCACCCCCAUCUCUGACCCUCCCAAGCCAGCCCUUGCUCAGCCCUGGUCUCCAGAUAGGAUGCCACUGCUUUUGUAGGACUGGGGAUUUCUUGCCCAGAGUAAUGGGAGAGGCAAGGCGCAUGAAUGCCUGUAAGUGCAUUGUAUCCCUCUCUCUUCAAUGGCUAAGUAAAAAGAAGACGGGUGAAAUGUCGACACCAAUCUUCCAGGGUUCCUUCUCUCCAAGCGCCAGGAGAUCCCCACAGGCCAAAGAUCCCAUUGACACCCUUGUUUUCUCUAGAUCAGAGAGAUGGCUUCUGGAUUCAUCUUUCCCUGCAAUCCAGCUUCUCCUCCUGGGGCCCUCAUACUGGAGACUGGGAUCAUCAUCCAGGCUUUUGCACUGGGCCAGGAAUUUGGGAGUCAUCCUGGAUCCGUCUGCCCCUGUCAACCUUUCGCUGUCAACGGAUAUUUAUUGGGCGUCCUCAACAGCCAGGCCCUGUUCAUGGUACUGAAGAACAGCUUGUAUAAAACAACCCUGCCCUCACAGGGCGAUCACCAGUGACCUGUGGUGUGGAGUCUCCUUUUACCUAUGUCUCCUCCUUCCCACUGUCACCAUCCUUGGUCCUCCUCUGUCACCUGGAAUACUCCACUUGGUAACCAGCAUGAUCUUAUAACGCUAGUUUUACCCUUGUCAGCACUUUGCCAAAAACCUCAAAUAAAGACUUUUUUUAAAAUGUGCAAUGGAAAAAUAAAGUUAUAAAUUAUAUCAUAACC
rnacentral:lncRNA from 10 species